AUACCUUUCUCGGCCUUUUGGCUAAGAUCAAGUGUAGUAUCUGUUCUUAUCAGUUUAAUAUCUGAUAUGUGGACCAAUGGUUCACACGAUAUUAAAUUUAUUUUUUAAGGGGGAGAGUCCAUUACAGUAGCUUGCUGCUGGGGCUCUCGAGUGUCGUCCUGGCGUUGCACUACUGCCUGGGCCUGGCACACCCCAC
rnacentral:snRNA from 1 species